CAGUCACACUGGUUAAACAUAAAACACCAAACACGAACAUUCCCUCAAACAUGUUUGACGAAAAUGCCUGACAAACAUCCCCCAUACAUGUAUGGCUCAACAGCUGUGGUCACACUGCGAAAACGCCGUCAGAACAUGUUCAAAGACACGCGUGUAUAACCAGUGUGACCGUGCCGUGAUACAAAAGUGCGCUUCGGUUGUGUUUGAAAGCUUGUUUUCAAACACUUGAACGUGUAUUUGGACACUGUCGAAAAACAGCUCAUGGGAUUUUGGAGAAAUCAAAUAAAUUUCUUGAUAUUCAUCAAAGAAUAUGUUGCUUUUUACGUGUUUGAGUGUCAACAACAUUGGGCAUCAUUGAAAAUGGCGAGUUCUUUCGGUGUGGAGCUUCGCCGACCUCAUCCGAUCUGUCGACUUUGGUGGUCGAUUAGCAUGAAAUACAUUUCGCAGAAGUCAAGUGGAUAACGCUUGUGUUUGGCGUUUGCUUUCGAGGAGUGAAAUGUCGACGCAAAAGGCCCGGAGACGGCAGCGAUCAGUCUACGCUUCGCCCGACGCCCGUUUCAUAAACAUGGUGUUACUCGCAGCCGGAAUCCCGAAAGACACAAGAAACUCGAACCCGGACACGAAUUUCACGCCAACGACAGUGGAAUAGGCAACAUAACGUAUCGGCACAAGUGAGGAGCUGAAUGAGUCACCACAAUACACCAAGUAGCUAUUCUUCCAGCGACAACUGCAGCACGGCAGCAAUCAACACUGAAAAGCGAAACAAGCUCCAGUGAAAACACAAAGUGCCGAUCAAGAGCCUCGGUCAGACUGUCAGUAAGGAGUGCUCGCAUCCUUGUCUCCUGUGUAUUUCUCCCAUUUCGUGAUAAGCUACCAGUGCUUGUUUGUGUUGCACAUGUUUAAGCCAGUGUAGUCACACAAGUAUAUCCAAUGUUUAUUUAUUACUAUAUUGUACACAGUAUUUAUUAGUACUCAUUCCUAAUAUACACAAUAUUUAUCAAAGCGCAUUGUUUUAAAUUACAUAAUGUAAUGUAGGAUGUCAGUUCGUUCUUACACUCUCGGACUGUUUAUUGUCUGAACACAAGAUUCAUGCAAAAUAAUUUCAACGUUAAUCUGGCUGUUAUCAAUUCUGAGCUUUGUCAACAUCUUGCUGACUGUCACAGUUGUUGUGCUGACAUUUACUCAGCCUUCGUGUUGAGGAAAGAAAGAAAUUGGGGCAAAACCUUUCUUCUUGAACAAGUGGAAGUUGCAAGUAGGGAUAAUUGUGUUACGUGUUCUCAUUUCCUUCGCUAUUGAAGUUUCUUCCUUCAAAAUGUAUUGGUAUUGAUUAAAAUAUUUUUGUU